rnacentral:rRNA from 1 species
CCUACGGGUGGCAGCAGUGAGGAAUAUUGGUCAAUGGACGGAAGUCUGAACCAGCCAUGCCGCGUGCAGGAAGACGGCUCUAUGAGUUUUAAACUGCUUUUGUACAAGGGUAAACCUGAAUACGUGUAUUCAGCUGAAAGUACUGUACGAAUAAGGAUCGGCUAACUCCGUGCCAGCAGCCGCGGUAAUACGGAGGAUCCAAGCGUUAUCCGGAUUGAUUGGGUUUAAAGGGUGCGUAGGCGGAUUGGUAAGUAAGAGGUGAAAUGUCAGAGCUUAACUCGGGAACUGCUUGUAAUACUGUUAAUCUAGAGAGUAGAUGCGGAAGGCGGAAUGUAUGGUGUAGCGGUGAAAUGCUUAGAGAUCAUACAGAACACCGAUUGCGAAGGCAGCUUACCAAUCUAUAUCUGACGUUGAGGCACGAAAGCGUGGGGAGCAAACAGGAUUAGAUACCCCAGUAGUC